AGAGAAGUACCCAAGUGGCUCAAGGGGCUCCCCUGCUAAGGGAGUAGAUCGCGAUAGCGGUGCGAGGGUUCGAAUCCCUUCUUCUCUG
rnacentral:tRNA from 1 species